rnacentral:rRNA from 1 species
AUGUCAGAUGCCGCGGCGGCGUCGCUACCUAACGACGUCAUCUUCGACAUCCUGUCUAGGACGCCCGUGAGGUCCGUCUGCCGGUUCCGAUGCGUGUCGAGGGGCUGGCGAGCCCUAAUUACAUCGGACCCGGCCUUCCACGCCGCGCACAGGUCCCGCCACACCGACCCGUUCCUCGUCGACACCGGAAACUUCCGACGAGGAUCGCAACCUUGCAUACGGAUCCGCGACAUGGACGGCAACGUCGUCAGAGUGAUCGAGGGCGUCGGCGGCCUUGGGAUGCGAAGCACGACGAGCCUCGACGACCUCGUCUGCGUCCACAGCGAUUCUGACCAAGACGGCGUCCACGUCGUCGAUCCGGCCACCGGGGAGGUGCUCGCGACCAGCCCAGCGCGAGAGGUACUAACAGACGAUGAUGGCACCGUCACCCGCCUCUACUACCCAUGUUUCGCCAUCGGCCGUGCCGGUGCCGCCCCGUCCGACGCAUACAAGAUGGUCCGGCUCAGCCGAGCCGGCGCCACCUGCGACGUCCUCACAAUAGGGGAUCUCACUGCACGAUGGAGGAAGGCACGGGCACAUCCGUUCCCAAACUAUGCCCCGGAUACCUUUGCUCCUCCUGUCGCCAUCAAUGGUAUAUCAUGUACGUCAUGA